GCCUGGACGGCUCAGUUGGUUAGAGCGUGGUGCUGAUAAUGCCAAGGUUGCAGGUUCGAUCCCCGUAUGAGACCAGCUGCA
rnacentral:tRNA from 1 species